CUUCUUUAGGAUGCUCCGCGUUUAUUUUGUUCGUUGGUGAUGGUGAGUUGUACGUUGUGUAUGUGGUGUGCCAAAGUCGUUAGUAUUGUUAUCAGAUGUAAGAAGCCCAAGCAGCGUUUGCUUUCCAGGUGAGUUUGUUUUUUCUCUCUCCCUCUUUUUUAGAGUGGCCCGCGUUUAUUUUGUGCUUUGGUGAUGGUGUUUUUGACUGCAUUUGUCGCCUGCCAACGAGUGAGUGUUAUUAAAAACAGAGUGAGACGUCACGAUUGAUGGCUGAGCUGAACCACUCCGCCUUUGUAUGAGAAGGAAGGUCUCGCGCGAGUCAGAGGCAGCGAGGCGGAAGUACGAGAGUCAUGGUGUUUCUUAAUUGAAAGCACCUGUGUCGGUGGAGCGGGGAGCACGCGGUAUCAGUGCUAGGACGCUAAAGAAGAAGCACACUGCAGAGUGGUCCGCGUUUAUUCGUUUGGAAAUUACUUUUUUGUGCUUUGGUGAAGGUGAGUUGUACGUUAUGUGUAGCCGAAUGGUUUUGUACGAUGCCAGGUAAAUGUUUCCUACUGCAUAUGUCGCCUGCGAACGGGUGAGUGCUAUUAAAAACAGAGUGAAACGUCACGAUUGAUGGCCGAGCUGGACCACUCCGCCUUUGUAUGAGAAGGAAGGUCUCCCGCGAGGCAGAAGUACCAGCGUCAUCGUGUUUCUUGAUUGAAAGCACCUGGAGCACCUGUGUGGGUGGAGUGCAAAGAAGGCAUCGAACGGCAAGGUGGUGGAGGUUUCCUUUGUGGUCAUGGACGCCUGUAACACGACGAAGAGUAUUAACGGUGGUGAGCGUUCAAUGUUCCACCGAAGUGAAGAAACAGAAAGCACCUGUGUCGUUGGAGUGUAAAGAAAGCAAUGUGGUAGAGAUUGUGAAAUGUUUCAAAAUGUUGUUGUUGGAAAAGGUUGCCACGGAACAGGGAGCACGUGGUGUUAGUGCUAAGAUGUCAAUGAAGAAGCACAAACGGCGUUAACUUUCCAGGUGAGUUUGUUUUUUCUCUCUCUGUCCCUCUUUUUCAGAGUGGUCCGCGUUUAUUUUGUGCUUUGGUGAUGGUGUGUUGUACGUUGUGUGUGGCCGAAUUGUUUUGUACGAUGCCAGGCAAAUGUUUUUUUUAUUGCAUUUGUCGCCUGCCAACGGGUGCGUGCUAUUAAAAACAGAGUGAAACUUCGCGAUUGAUGGCUGAGUUGAACCACUCCGCCUUCGUAUGAGAAGGAAGGUCUCGCGCGAGUCAGAGGCAGCGAGGCGGAAGUACGAGCGUCAUGGUGUUUCUUAAUUGAAAGCACCUGUGUCGGUGGAGCGGGGAGCACGCCGUAUCAGUGCUAGGACGCUGAAGAAGAAGCACACUGCAGGUGAGUGAGCUUGGGUGAUGGUGAAUACAGUCGUUAGUAAUGCUAUCGAUGUUUAUUUGUUUGGAACGUGCUUCAAAUUAGUAUUUUGUGCGUGUACGGUGUGUCACCGUCGUUAGUAUUGCAAUCAGUGGUAAGAAGCACAAACAGCGUUAUCUUUC